rnacentral:tRNA from 1 species
ACACCGAUGGUGAAGUGGUUAUCAUGCUUGCCUUCCAUCUCUCCGGUAGCAAGCGGCAGGGGUUCGAUUCCCCUUCGGUGUA